rnacentral:rRNA from 1 species
GUCGAGCGGAAAGGCCCUUCGGGGUACUCGAGCGGCGAACGGGUGAGUAACACGUGAGCAAUCUGCCCUUAGCUUUGGGAUAACCCUCGGAAACGGGGGCUAAUACCGAAUAUUCACUGCCGGGCGCAUGUUUGGUGGUGAAAAGUUUUUCGGCUAGGAUGAGCUCGCGGCCUAUCAGCUUGUUGGUGGGGUAAUGGCCUACCAAGGCGACGACGGGUAGCCGGCCUGAGAGGGCGACCGGCCACACUGGGACUGAGACACGGCCCAGACUCCUACGGGAGGNNNCAGUGGGGAAUAUUGCACAAUGGGCGGAAGCCUGAUGCAGCGACGCCGCGUGAGGGAUGACGGCCUUCGGNNNNNNAACCUCUUUCAGCAGGGACGAAGCGAAAGUGACGGUANNUGCAGAAGAAGCGCCGGCCAACUACGUGC